rnacentral:lncRNA from 1 species
CGGCGUCACUCCUUUGCUGUUGCGCGUGGGGCGGGUGCGGCUGCGUGCGCGUGGAGGCUGAUGCGGGAGGCAGAGAGCGCGGCGGCGACGGCCAGUGCGUCCGGACGCAAAGAGGCGGGGUCGAGGCGGGGCGCAGGGAGGCGGAGGGUGUCGAGCGAGGCGACCGGGGCAGCAGCGUCGGGGCCGCCUCGCGGGUGGUGCUCACCCGACGCGGCGGCGGCGCCGGCGUUGCGGCCGGUGGAGAGGGCGAGGGAGAGAGGGAGGGGGAGGGGCCGGUGGGCCGCGUGCCCAGCUGGGCCGGCCCACUAGCGGCCAUUUUUUUUCUUAUUUUUUAUUUUUCUUAUAUGAUGUAUAUGAUGUAUAAUUGUUCUAAAUAAUUAUUAAUUGUCCAAAAUAAAUAAAUAAUGAUGUAUUAUUAAUUAUUAAUUGUCCUAAAUAUUUAUUAAUUGUUCUAAAUAAUUAUUAAUUAUUAAUUGUCCUAAAUAAAUGUAUAUGAUGUUUUAUUUUUCUUAUAAUUAUUAAUUGUCCUAAAUAAAUAAAUAAAUAUGAUGUAUUAUUAAUUAUUAAUUGUCCUAAAUAUUUAUUAAUUGUUCUA